UCCGCUGUAGCACAUUGGUAAUUCCCUUGAUUAGUUGAUAUUGGAAUCCAGGUUCAAAUCCUGGCAGCGGAA